CAUCAGACUAGUUGCCGUUCUUGCUUUCAAAUGUUUAAGUUGCUGCUCUGCACGUAUUUGCUACACAUGCUUCUAGUCCUUGCCAAUGGCGACGAAAGUGCGGACACAGUUUGCGAUGACAUGGGCCUCUGCUCAAGUAACUGCGGAGUGGAAAUUGAUAGCGCGACGCCGUGUCCAGACCAAAUGAAAUGUUGCUUGGGAUUUCGAUAGUGUUGGGAUAUAUUUUAUGCAUCAUAUGUUUAUCAAUAAUAAUAAAAUCCAAAUGAGCUGCUAUACACAAA